rnacentral:snRNA from 1 species
UAAUGAUGAGUCUAGCAGUUCUCAAAGGUUGAUUUAGUUGAUCUGGGUGGGUAGAUGGGUAUACCCUUCCUCCUUCACUAUUUCAUGUGCAUCCCUCCCUAAGCCGCACACUCGUCAGUCAAAGAGGAUGACUUUUACUGAAUAAAGAUGUACCAAUCUUUAGUCCAUAGUAUACAAGAAGCUGUGCUCCCCUGUUAGAACUUCCAAAUAAGCUAAGAAACUAUUAUCAACUCCAAAUAUGGAUUAUCAACUCCAAAUAUGGAUUAUUCAACUAUACUACAUAAUGGAAGUCACUAGU